rnacentral:rRNA from 1 species
CCUACGGGAGGCAGCAGUGGGGAAUUUUGGACAAUGGGCGCAAGCCUGAUCCAGCAAUGCCGCGUGUGUGAAGAAGGCCUUCGGGUUGUAAAGCACUUUUGGCAGGAAAGAAACAGUGCGUGCUAAUACCAUGCGCGAAUGACGGUACCUGCAGAAUAAGCACCGGCUAACUACGUGC